CCUACGGGGGGCUGCAGUAGGGAGUUUUCGUCAAUGGGGGAAACCCUGAACGAGCAACGCCGCGUGAACGAUGAAAGUCUUCGGAUUGUAAAGUUCUGUUACGGAGGAUAAAUGGCUAGCUUAGUGGAAAGAAGCUAGUUUGAUAGUACUCCGCCAGAAAGCAACGACUAACUACGUGCCAGCAGUCGCGGUAAUACGUAGGUUGCAAGCGUUAUCCGGAAUUAUUGGGCGUAAAGAGUGAGCAGGCGGUCUAUUAAGUUUAAAGUCAAAUCGAUAGGCUUAACCUAUUCCCGCUUUAAAAACUGAUAGACUAGAGUAUGUGAGAGGUUGGUAGAACUCCAUGUGUAGCGGUGAAAUGCAUAGAUAUAUGGAAGAAUACCAGUGGCGAAGGCGGCCAACCAGCACAAUACUGACGUUCAGUCACGAAAGCGUAGGUAGCAAAUAGGAUUAGAUACCCUAGUAGUC
rnacentral:rRNA from 1 species